GAGACCAGCUUCAUCUCCACUCGACCAACAUGAUGCAGGUUUUCUACUGGAAUGCCGAGUUAUUUCAGGACAAGGGGGAAGAGCUACAGGCCAGUCAACAACACCAGCUGCCCAUCCCAGCAGGAUCACUCUAAGGCAUCCCCUUUACCAUGCAUCACUUGGGGCUGCUCUGAGAAAUUGCCUUGCUUCAGGCUGGGUCCCUGCCAUGUGACAAUGGACACAGCGCUGAAGAACCAACUAUGAACAAGACAAAAGAUUGCUGCCCUCAUGGAACUUUCUGUCCAGAUGGAGAGACAGACAAUUAAACAGGACUGGAGCCCUUAUAAGAAGAUGGAGAGACACCAGAGAAAUGAAGACACGGCAAGAAGGUGGCCACCUGCAAGCCAAGGAGAGAGGCCUCACCAGAAGCCCUGUUGGCACCUUGAUCUCGAACUUCCAGUCUCCAGAACUGUGAGACAAUAAAUCUAUGUUGUUUAAAAUACUUACCCUAAGGUAUUCUGUUAUGACAGCCCUAGCAGACUAAUAUACCCCCAAAUGGAAUAAUAAUAAUAAUGAUAUACAGAGAUGAUUAUGCAUCAAGCAAAGUUCUAAGUGCCAUGCAAAUAUUAAUGUAUUUAAUCUACACAGGCUACACAGGAAUUUUAUGAGGAAGAUACUUGUAUUAUUUUCAUUUUAUAAUUGAGGAAAUUGAAUUACAUAGAGGUUAAGUGAUUUUACCCAUGAUCAUGCAGCUAGUAAGUAGUGGACCUAGGAUUUGAACUAGGCAAUCUGGUUCCAGAGGGCAUGCUCUAAACCAGUAGUCUCCAACAUUUUUGGCACCAGGGGAUGGUUUCAUGGAAGACAAUUCUCCCGUGGACUGGGGUAGGGGAUGAUUUAACUGCAUUACAUUUAUUGUGCACUUUAUUUCUAUUUUUAUUACACUGUAAUAUAUAAUGAAAUAAUUAUACAACUCACCAGAAUGUAGAAUCAGUGAGAGCCCUGAGCUUGUUUUCCUGCAACUAGAUGGUCCCAUCUAGGGGUGAUGGGAGAUGGUGACAGAUCAUCAGGCAUUAGAUUCCCAUAAGGAGUGCACAACCUAGAACCCUCCCAUGUGCAGUUCACAAUAGGGUUUGUGAUCCUAUGAGAAUUUAAUGCUGUUCCUGAUCUGACAGGAGGCGGAGCUCAGGUGGUAAUACAAGUGAUGGGGAGUGGCUGUAAAUACAGAUGAAGCUUCUCUCACUUGGCCCCCCACUCACCUCCUUCUGUGCAGCCUGGUUCCUAACAAGUUACAGACCUGUGCCAGUCCAUGGCCUGGGGGUUGGGGACCCCUGCUGUAAACCACAGAUACUAUCUCUCUAAGAAGAUAUUAGAAUUAUGGUGACGUAUUUAAAUUGCAUGCAAAGAUAGUAUUAGGUGUUAUUUUGAAAGUAGGUUAAAAACAUAUACAGUGAUAUGUAUAGAUUAUGUAUAUAUAGAGAGAUAUACACACAUACAUAAUUUCUAAUCAUCAGUGCUUACAUAUAUUAUUAUUUCAUAUAUAGUUCAUAUAUAUAUAUUUACUGAUAUGGUCUGAAUGUUUGAGUCCCCCCAAAAUUCAUAUAUUAAAAUCAUAGCCCCCAAAGCAAUGAUAUUAGGAGGUAGGGCUUUAAGGAGGUGAUUAGCUCAUGAGUGUGGGGCCUUCAUGCAACUAGUACCUUUAUAAAGGAGACCCAAGAAAAACCCCAUCAUUUUUCCUCCAUGUGAAGACACAGUAAGAAGACACCAUCUAUGAAUCUAUGAGGAAGCAGGCCCUCACCAGACACCAAAUGUGCUGGUUCCUAGAUCUUGGACUUCCCAGCCUCCAGAACUGUGAGAAAUAAAUUUCUGUUGGUUAUAAUCUACCUAGUUUAUGCUAUUUUGUUAUAGAACCUCAGGAAGACUAAGAUAUACAUACAGAGAUAGAGAGACAUUAAAUAUAUAUACACACAUUAUAUAUGAGACACAUAUUUAUACAUAUUAUAUAUACAUUAAAAUAUUUUAUGUAAACAUAGCAAAUACUCUAAAACAUUAUCUAUGGCCAUCUCUGAGUGGUAGGAAUAAUGUUCUUUUCUUUUUUCUUUGUUUGGCUGUUAUAUGUUUUAUACAUUUCCUACAAUAAAUAUGUAUUUAUUUUCAUUUGAAAUUGAUUAUAAUACGUUUGCUUAAAGUUAGAGUGGGGUAUUUAAGUAACUGAAUAAAGAAGUAAGGUGAGGAAUAAUGUGAAAGAAAUUGAUGUCUUUAGGUGGAAGAGAGUAAAGAUUAAAAAGAAUGUUUUGAGGAAUGGGGUAGAAUUUGAGUGACAGUGAAGGCUCACUUGGAGAGACCAAAUUUUGGUAUGUUGAGCAUUCAAGGGGGGAAUCGAAGUCAGUAUUUUGUAGAUCUUGGACUUAAACCUAUCUGGCCAAUCCAUUAAUUUGUUAAUAUUUAUAUUAAUGAGUUUAGGAUUUAUGGUUUGGCUAGCUCUUUAAUAAAACACAAAUAGUGUGUUGUAAUGAAAAAGGAGACAAGUAAGAACACUGUAGCUGUUAUAAUUGCUAUAAUGUGAUCCUAUUCCCAGAUGUGGAAGUAGAGUGAUAUUUAUAUGUGAACUGGGUAAGACAUAAGUUAGAAAAAUGUCCUCACAUUUCAGAAGCUCGAAAACUAAUAGAGGGCCCAAGGAACCCUUACAGGGAGGAUGUGUCAUGGGAAGGUUGGCUUGUCUGGGGGCAUUUAAGAUAUUAGAAAAUAUAAGCAAUUUCAAUUGUCAACGAUUAGACAAUCAGAGAAAUUAGUCCUGCUGUGCAAGUUACACAUCCCCUUGUUGCUCAU
rnacentral:lncRNA from 1 species